rnacentral:rRNA from 1 species
UGAGUAACACGUGGGCAAUCUGCCCUGCACUUCGGGAUAAGCCUGGGAAACUGGGUCUAAUACCGGAUAGGACCUUUAGACGCAUGUCUUUUGGUGGAAAGCUUUUGCGGUGUGGGAUGGGCCCGCGGCCUAUCAGCUUGUUGGUGGGGUGAUGGCCUACCAAGGCGACGACGGGUAGCCGGCCUGAGAGGGUGUCCGGCCACACUGGGACUGAGAUACGGCCCAGACUCCUACGGGAGGCAGCAGUGGGGAAUAUUGCACAAUGGGCGCAAGCCUGAUGCAGCGACGCCGCGUGGGGGAUGACGGCCUUCGGGUUGUAAACCUCUUUCACCAUCGACGAAGGUCCGGGUUUUCUCGGAUUGACGGUAGGUGGAGAAGAAGCACCGGCCAACUACGUGCCAGCAGCCGCGGUAAUACGUAGGGUGCGAGCGUUGUCCGGAAUUACUGGGCGUAAAGAGCUCGUAGGUGGUUUGUCGCGUUGUUCGUGAAAUCUCACGGCUUAACUGUGAGCGUGCGGGCGAUACGGGCAGACUAGAGUACUGCAGGGGAGACUGGAAUUCCUGGUGUAGCGGUGGAAUGCGCAGAUAUCAGGAGGAACACCGGUGGCGAAGGCGGGUCUCUGGGCAGUAACUGACGCUGAGGAGCGAAAGCGUGGGGAGCGAACAGGAUUAGAUACCCUGGUAGUCCACGCCGUAAACGGUGGGUACUAGGUGUGGGUUUCCUUCCUUGGGAUCCGUGCCGUAGCUAACGCAUUAAGUACCCCGCCUGGGGGAGUACGGCCGCAAGGCUAAAACUCAAAGGAAUUGACGGGGGCCCGCACAA